CCCCUAGAUGUUCUGGGCCGCACGCGCGCUACACUGAACAGUUCAACAAGUCUUAACCUUGGCCGAUAGGUCUGGGUAAUCUUUGAACGCUGUUCGUGAUUGGGAUAGACCUUUGCAAUUAUGGGUCUUCAACGAGGAAUUCCUAGUAAACGCAAGUCAUCAGCUUGCACUGAUUACGUCCCUGCCCUUUGUACACACCGCCCGUCGCACCUACCGAUUGAAUGGUCCGGUGAAAUCUCGGGACGGCGGCUCGGUCGCUUGCGUCCGACUGCUGAAACUUGAUUAAACCAUAUCAUUUAGAGGAAGGUGAAGUCGUAACA
rnacentral:rRNA from 1 species